AUUGAACGCUAGCGGGAUGCUUUACACAUGCAAGUCGAACGAGUGGCGGACGGGUGAGUAAUCUAACGGAACGUGGCCAGUAGAGGGGGAUAACUAAUCGGGAGAGUGGCUCAUACCGCAUCCUAUUGGCGCGGGCGAUAUCGGAUUAGCUAGUUGGUGGGGUAAAGGCUCACCAAGUCAACGAUCCGUAGCUGGGUUGAGAGGACGACCAGCCACACUGGAACUGAGACACGGUCCAGACUCCUACGGGAGGCAGCAGUGGGGAAUUUUGGACAAUGGGGGAAACCCUGAUCCAGCCAUCCCGCGUGUAUGAGAAGGCCUUCGGAUUGUAAAGUACUUUUGGCAGAGAAGCGGUAUCUGCAGAAUAAGCACCGGCUAACUACGUGCCAGCAGCCGCGGUAAGUC
rnacentral:rRNA from 1 species